rnacentral:rRNA from 1 species
AUUGAACGCUGGCGGCAGGCCUAACACAUGCAAGUCGCACGAGUGGCGGACGGGUGAGUAAUGUCUGGGAAACUGCCCGAUGGCGGGGGAUAACUACUGGAAACGGUAGCUAAUACCGCAUACCAUCGGAUGUGCCCAGAGGGGAUUCGCUAGUAGGUGGGGUAAAGGCUCACCAAGCCGACGAUCUCUAGCUGGUCUGAGAGGAUGACCAGCAACACUGGGACUGAGACACGGCCCAGACUCCUACGGGAGGCAGCAGUGGGGAAUAUUGCGCAAUGGGGGCAACCCGGACGCAGCAAUGCCGCGUGAAUGAAGAAGGCCUUAGGGUUGUAAAGUUCUUUCGGUGGCGAGGCGUUAACUACAGAAGAAGCACCGGCUAACUCCGUGCCAGCAGCCGCGGUAAUAC